GGGUCUGAGGUCUGAGCAGCAAUCGAGUGAUCAAGGCGUGUGAGAAACCAUGAGCCUCAGGUUCCCAGGAGAGAGGAAGGAGAGAGAGCAAAACAUCAAACCCACAGCCUAGCGGUGUAUUGCUCUCUAAACCGGAUCCCGGGACCUAACUUUGCAGGACAGAGACCACGUGUUUGCUAACGACGAUCACAACGUGUCUUCUCCAAGAGGAAUCUGCCUCCCGCUUUAAGACAACAUGCACUUUUUUCUCACGUCUGUAUUGGUCCUUCGCUCCACAGUCCCCGAGUUUCUCAAGAUAACCUGAAAGGGAUGAGACAGCCAAACUGGCCUGCCGUCUUCUACCGGUUUCGCGAGUCCCCGGGGCGUUGCUCUGCUCGCAGACCACUGGUAAAGCGUCUGAAACCACCGGUGCCCUCCCAACCCUGUUCCCUUCCGUGUCCCUGCUGUGUCUUUCUUUCGGUCCGUUUACUCGUGCAGUCUCCCAAAGCCGGCACGCCGUGCCGACAUCGGAGCAGCACAAGUUUAGUACACGCACCUGCCUAACUUUGGGUGGGGAGGGAUUGUUUUGGAGCCAAAUGGCAAAGAGCAGGCCGUGGAUGAAAGCGUCCGUCACCAACCCAGCAUUCUUCCCCUGGUGAGCUCUGCAGGUGGACCCUCGAUGCAUUCAGCCGCCAGCAGAAAUCCUUUGACUUGGGGGAGGGAAGUCCCCCUGCUCUGAUCACCAGGAAUGAAUUGUGAUCCACCUGGACCACACAGAGCCCUCUCCUUCUCCCGAGGCUGGCUACGUGAGCCCGUGAGAUGUGACGGAAGUUUGCUGGAUGUCGCUCCCGGGAAAGCUUUUGCUUUCUUGGGGAGAAAGAAGCAGACGCCACCGGCAGGCCCUCGUCCGUCUCUUUGCCAUUUCGGCUUCCCUGGAAUAUGACAUUGCGCCCAUUUUUCUCUUCAGAUUUUCACGGUUCCCUUAAAAUCCUCUCACCUACUUAUAACAGUGGCUGUGUCUUGUCUGUUGAUCUCUGUCAUUUCUACGCUUGCUGUUGACACUUUUUUUCUCCUGGGUAUGAGUCACAUUUCCUGUUUCUUUGGCAUGUCUGGUGAUGUUUUACUGGAGCCUGAACAUCGCCACCGUGGUCGAAUGUUUAGAUUGUGGCGGCAGGCAGCUCAUUUGCUCGCAGACCGGCCUGAGCGUUGUGAAGUUCAUGGGCAAGCUUCGUCAGGGGAGGGAGGUCCAGAGUUCCCUUCAGGGCCGGGGUGCCCUUUCAUAAGGAUUGAACCUCGUGAGGUCCCCAUGUAAUGUCCCAGCUGCUCCCCCAAGGCUUUCUUCUCCGGCCAGCCUUACAGCCAGU